UCGGGCGCCGGCUCGCCGCCCGACGACACGCGCUUCGGCCCCGUGCAGCGCCCGCACCCACACACACACCCGCACCCGAGACCCGUCUAGACCGCACCGAAUCCCACCGAAAUCGAACCUCAAACCGACGAGCACAACACGAAAUCCAAAAUCUUCCAAACGACACAUUAUUCAAAAAUAUGUAUCUAUGAUUUAAUUAAAUACACGUGAAGACUAUGCUGCAAUAUGUACGAUUCACACAAAACAGCUGAAAUCAACAUAAACUAUUUAGGAGCUUUAGAAGGACGCGCAUUUGAAAAACAGUUGAUAUAUACCGUUAACACUUCCAUUGACAUAUGGAACCUUACUGACUAAGGCUCAAAUUCCUUACAUAUCUAGUAUAAUUCGCCCCUAUAGGCUUGUCUAAGCGUUUGGUGUGAAUCCUACAUAACGAUAACAACUCCUUUUUAAAAAGAUUGACAUGAAAACAUUACUUUAUUUAAUGAUUGUGACAUGAAUAUUGAUUAAUAUCGGAUAUGACAUUUUAAGAUCACAUAAUGAUCUGACAAUUCGUAAAUCUUAUAAGACAUAAGAGUGCGUAAUUAAGAGUGGCAAAUAUUUAUGUAACAAUUAUGAAUCAUAUACGAUAAUUUACAUUAUUUUGCUUUGCAUUAGUUACUGAUUUUUAAAAAGUGUUUUGUCAAUUAAGACAUGUCAAGAUCGCGAAGUCUUUUUCUAAUGCUAAAAAAACGAACUAUAGCAGGCCUGAUCAUCGUUAAAUAUGGCGGCAGAGCAGCCGUCAGUCCAUAGAAAACUGUCAAACUAUUCAUACAAAUUUAAACGUAGAAAGAUCUGGCCUUUAGUAUACGAUAUUGACUUAUGAAGCACGGAAAAUGUAAAACAUCUAAACUUAAACAUCAUUUAAACUUUUGUGCCUUACAACACGAAUGCAUCACGCUUUGAUAUUUCAUUUACAACGGUGUUCGCGAUAUAUUGCUAUGGUACGUCGACUCGAUAUAGCGCAUAGCCUAGAACAUUAUAUGUGAACGAUUCUUGUUAUGUGGAUCAAUCAACUUUAUAUUGUCACUCGUUGCCACGGUUACAAUCUUCUGGACAACUAAAACCCUUAUAUGUAUAUGACGACUUUGUAACAAAACCACCAGUGGGUGGUCGUAUUUGCCUGUGUGACAGUGCAGCGCGAUAAGUGAUACUUGUUUUAUCACGUGGAUAAAGCCAUCCAUCUUUCUGUAAAGAUUUGAUGGCGACACUUUUAUCACCAAUCGUGUCACACUAUUCUAAUGUAUUUCGAUUAUUCAUUGUGUUGAUUUGUAAAUGAAUAAUCCAAUAUCUUGUCAAAGAAAGAGACGACAAUCUGUUCUCAGUUAUCAAUGUGUCUCAAGGACUUAACGCAUGUAAUAAAUUUACUGCAUGGUGCGUAAUUAUAAUUACUUGAUUAUAGAUUAGCAAUAAAGGCAAUUUGUAAGUCUGAUUGUAAUUUUCUCAGAUCGAUAAGACUUAGAGCUGUAAUUAAAAGACCUAAAAUAUCAAUGCCACUUUUGACAAAACCCUAAAAUGUUAAGUUUAGAACCUGUGUCUAAUUUUUAUCCUUUAGGAUGACAAAAACGCGAAAGGGUUAAAAAUCAAUUGAUAUUUCGAGGUUUUGAACCAAAAUAUCAGUUUUUUUUUUUUUGUUGAAACAACCUUGAAAAAGAGUACAGGUUUUUAAACGGUCGUCUGUAACUGCUGCAGUUGCAAGCGUCUGUAUGCUACGACAUCCGCUUACCGGGCUGUGCGCUUGUUUGCCACGUGGUAUAAUUGGCAGCUCUAAGUCUUAUCCCUGUACUGGGCCAUUGGCUCUCGAUCCCGAUACUGACGUAUGACGAAGUUUGUAUGGAACUAAUAAGAGUAUUAUAACCGACCGCAGGUUGUAUGUAAACGAUAAGUGAAAUGUAUAUUAUAGAUGAA